GCGCCUCGUGAACUCAUCUUCGGGGGUAGAGCACUGUUUCGGCUAGGGGGUCAUCCCGACUUACCAACCCGAUGCAAACUGCGAAUACCGGAGAAUGUUAUCACGGGAGACACACGGCGGGUGCUAACGUCCGUCGUGAAGAGGGAAACAACCCAGACCGCCAGCUAAGGUCCCAAAGUCAUGGUUAAGUGGGAAACGAUGUGGGAAGGCCCAGACAGCCAGGAUGUUGGCUUAGAAGCAGCCAUCAUUUAAAGAAAGCGUAAUAGCUCACUGGUCGAGUCGGCCUGCGCGGAAGAUGUAACGGGGCUAAACCAUGCACCGAAGCUGCGGCAGCGACGCUUAUGCGUUGUUGGGUAGGGGAGCGUUCUGUAAGCCGUUGAAGGUGGCCUGUGAGGGUUGCUGGAGGUAUCAGAAGUGCGAAUGCUGACAUAAGUAACGAUAAAGCGGGUGAAAAGCCCGCUCGCCGGAAGACCAAGGGUUCCUGUCCAACGUUAAUCGGGGCAGGGUGAGUCGACCCCUAAGGCGAGGCCGAAAGGCGUAGUCGAUGGGAAACAGGUUAAUAUUCCUGUACUCGGUGUUACUGCGAAGGGGGGACGGAGAAGGCUAUGUUGGCCGGGCGACGGUUGUCCCGGUUUAAGCAUGUAGGCGGGUGUUCCAGGUAAAUCCGGAACGCUGUUAACGCUGAGGUGUGAUGACGAGGCACUACGGUGCUGAAGCAACAAAUGCCCUGCUUCCAGGAAAAGCCUCUAAGCAUCAGGUAACAUCAAAUCGUACCCCAAACCGACACAGGUGGUCAGGUAGAGAAUACCAAGGCGCUUGAGAGAACUCGGGUGAAGGAACUAGGCAAAAUGGUGCCGUAACUUCGGGAGAAGGCACGCUGAUGGUAGGUGAAGUGAUUUACUCAUGGAGCUGAAAUCAGUCGAAGAUACCAGCUGGCUGCAACUGUUUAUUAAAAACACAGCACUGUGCAAACACGAAAGUGGACGUAUACGGUGUGACGCCUGCCCGGUGCCGGAAGGUUAAUUGAUGGGGUUAUCCUCGCGGAGA
rnacentral:rRNA from 1 species